rnacentral:rRNA from 1 species
GUGAGGAAUAUUGCGCAAUGGAGGCAACUCUGACGCAGCCAUGCCGCGUGCAGGAAGAAGGCGCUACGCGUUGUAAACUGCUUUUAACCGGGAAGAAACCCCAGGACGUGUCCUGGGUUGACGGUACCGGAGGAAUAAGCACCGGCUAACUUCGUGCCAGCAGCCGCGGUAAUACGAAGGGUGCAAGCGUUAUCCGGAUUCAUUGGGUUUAAAGGGUGCGUAGGCGGAGCGUUAAGUCAGUGGUGAAAUCCUGCAGCUUAACUGUAGACUUGCCAUUGAUACUGGCGCUCUUGAGUGCGCUUGAAGUGGGCGGAAUGUGCCGUGUAGCGGUGAAAUGCUUAGAUAUGGCACAGAACACCAAUUGCGAAGGCAGCUCACUAAGGCGAUACUGACGCUGAGGCACGAAAGCGUGGGGAUCGAACAGGAUUAGAAACCCCGGUAUCC